rnacentral:rRNA from 1 species
CCUACGGGUGGCAGCAGUAGGGAAUAUUGCUCAAUGGGGGAAACCCUGAACCAGCAACGCCGCGUGGAGGAUGAAGGUUUUAGGAUUGUAAAAUCCCUUUGUUCGAGAAGCUUAUGCCGGUAUCUAACGAAUAAGCACCGGCUAACACCGUGCCAGCAGCCGCGGUAAUACGGAGGGUGCCAGCGUUACUCGGAAUCACUGGGCGUAAAGCGUGCGUAGGCGGGGUAAUAAGUCAGAUGUGAAAUCCUGUAGCUUAACUACAGAACUGCAUUUGAAACUGGUACUCUGGAGUGUGAGAGAGGUAGGCGGAAUGCUUGGUGUAGGGGUAAAAUCCAUAGAGAUCAAGCGGAAUACUGAUUGCGAAGGCAGCAUGCCGGAUCCCUACUGACGCUGAUGCACGAAAGCGUGGGGAGCGAACAGGAUUAGAUACCCGAGUAGUC